GCGGGCGUAACUCAAUGGUAGAGUGCAAGCCUUCCAAGCUUGAUGCUGAGGGUUCGAAUCCCUUCGCCCGCU
rnacentral:tRNA from 1 species